AACAGUAUCGACUAAUUAUAUGCUGAGUAUUCAUUGACGGUAUCAAAUGACAGUGACGAGCCACUUGAUUUUAAUGAAAUUUUUGUUAAAGGAAGGUGCAUUCUGACCGUUUACAAGUAGGCUGUUUUUAAAUUGGUAUUGUUUCAGAUUUUCGUCUGUCUUACUAUUUACAGCUUAUUGUUUGUGAACUGUGUCCUAGUGCAGUGCUUACAACACUAGUCAGCAG
rnacentral:rRNA from 1 species